rnacentral:lncRNA from 1 species
GAUAUGGCACACGGUGACUCUUGGCUAAAAUACAGGUAUCACAUUUGAAGUCGGAGUCCUUAAAGCAUAAGAAUAAAUAUAGCAUAAGAUGCUUCAGAUUACAAAAAGAUAGAUAUCCCAAUCGACGGUGCGAUAACCAUAAUUGCUUUUGUUUGCUAUCAGAGGGAUACAUCACAUUAUUAGUCAUGUCGGGGACAUAAGUCAUCUACAUAAUAGAGUCCUCCUCUCUUAGUACCACGACCAAGAAUCUCCUUAAUGUGAAUAUCCUGAAGCAAACAAAAAUUCGGGUAAAUAAGUACAUAACAAUUCAAUUGUCCAGUAAUCUGACUAACGGAUAUCAAUUUAUUGGAUAAAGAUAGAACAAGUAAAGUAUUAGACAAUGCGAGAAAGGAUGAGAGUGCAACAGUGCCACCCUCUAUCACAG